rnacentral:rRNA from 1 species
UACAGAGGGUGCAAGCGUUGUCCGGAAUCACUGGGCGUAAAGGGCGCGUAGGCGGCCCGGAAAGUAGGGGGUGAAAUCUCACGGCUCAACUGUGAGGCUGCCUUCUAGACUGCCAGGCUCGAGCACAGUAGAGGCUGGUGGAAUUCCCGGUGUAGCGGUGGAAUGCGUAGAGAUCGGGAAGAACAUCUGUGGCGAAGGCGGCCAGCUGGGCUGUUGCUGACGCUGAUGCGCGACAGCGUGGGGAGCAAACAGG